GGCCCACCAAGGAUCCCCGAUUUCAGUUCUUGAAGUACAUCGUCCGUUUCUGUGUGCUGUGCUAUUUGGUGGAAUUUGAAGGCAGUAACAUCCAGGUGCUGUGCUCGGUCUAGCUCAUUUAGUGAAUGGACAACCUACACCUGAAUAUCCGAAUCCCAUAGCUGCUAUCCCUGCAACUGUCUAAAGGAAGGAACAUUAUGGAGGUUGCCGAAAGCCUCCAACAAAAAGAACCAGAAGUGAGG